rnacentral:rRNA from 1 species
GACGAACGCUGGCGGCGUGCCUAAUACAUGCAAGUCGAGCGAACAGGCGAGGAACUUGUUCCACUGACGUUAGCGGCGGACGGGUGAGUAACGCGUGGAUAACCUACCUAUAAGAGGGGGAUAACUUCGGGAAACCGGAGCUAAUACCGGAUAAUAUAUUGAACCGCAUGGUUCAAUAGUGAAAGACGGUUUUGCUGUAACUAAUAGAUGGAUCUGGGCGGCAUUAGCUGGUUGGUAGGUUAACGGCUUACAAGGGCGACGAUGCGUAGCCGACCUGAGAGGUGGAUCGCCCACACUGGAGCUGGACCACGCUCAAGCCUCCUACGGGAGGCAGCAGAAGGGAAUCUUCGGCAAUGGGCGAAAUCCUGCCGGAGCAAGGCCGCGUGAGUGAUAAAGGUCUUCGGAUCGUAAACCUCUUUUAUUGGGGAAAAACAAAUGUGUAAGGAAAUGUGCACGUCGUGACGGUACCUACUCAGAAAGCCACGGCUAACUACGUG